rnacentral:rRNA from 1 species
GACGAACGCUGGCGGCGUGCUUAACACAUGCAAGUCGAACGGAAAGGCCCUGCUUGCAGGGUACUCGAGUGGCGAACGGGUGAGUAACACGUGGGUGAUCUGCCCUGCACUUCGGGAUAAGCCUGGGAAACUGGGUCUAAUACCGGAUAGGAGCCAUUUUUAGUGUGAUGGUUGGAAAGUUUUUUCGGUGUAGGAUGAGCUCGCGGCCUAUCAGCUUGUUGGUGGGGUAAUGGCCUACCAAGGCGGCGACGGGUAGCCGGCCUGAGAGGGUGGACGGCCACAUUGGGACUGAGAUACGGCCCAGACUCCUACGGGAGGCAGCAGUGGGGAAUAUUGCACAAUGGGCGCAAGCCUGAUGCAGCGACGCCGCGGGGGGGAUGACGGCCUUCGGGUUGGAAACUCCUUUCGCUAGGGACGAAGCUUUUUGUGACGGUACCUAGAUAAGAAGCACCGGCUAACUACGUG